rnacentral:siRNA from 1 species
ACCCGUGUCUUCCAUGUCUCUGC